GGGGUGUUCUCAGAACGAGGGGUCUAAAGAAUGGCUUCUCUGUUUACAACAUACCCAAGAAUAAUAUGGGGCCAUUGUAAUGAGGGGCAAAGCACUAUUUCCUCUCUGUGAGUAUAUUCCCUACAUGU
rnacentral:snoRNA from 1 species